rnacentral:rRNA from 1 species
CGGCGAAGCCGCGAGGUGGAGCGAAUCCCAAAAAGCCGGUCUAAGUUCGGAUUGCAGGCUGCAACCCGCCUGCAUGGAGUCGGAAUCGCUAGUAAUCGCGAGUCAGCAUAUCGCGGUGAAUACGUUCCCGGGUCUUGUACACACCGCCCGUCACACCAUGGGAGUUGGCAACACCCGAAGUCGAUGAGCUAACCGCAAGGAGGCAGUCGCCUAAGGUGGGGUUGAUAACUGGGGUGAAGUCGUAACAAGGUAUC